rnacentral:rRNA from 1 species
UCUGCCUAAUACAUGCAAGUCGAACGAACUCUGGUAUUGAUUGGUGCUUGCAUCAUGAUUUACAUUUGAGUGAGUGGCGAACUGGUGAGUAACACGUGGGAAACCUGCCCAGAAGCGGGGGAUAACACCUGGAAACAGAUGCUAAUACCGCAUAACAACUUGGACCGCAUGGUCCGAGUUUGAAAGAUGGCUUCGGCUAUCACUUUUGGAUGGUCCCGCGGCGUAUUAGCUAGAUGGUGGGGUAACGGCUCACCAUGGCAAUGAUACGUAGCCGACCUGAGAGGGUAAUCGGCCACAUUGGGACUGAGACACGGCCCAAACUCCUACGGGAGGCAGCAGUAGGGCGAAUCUUCCACAAUGGACGAAAGUCUGAUGGAGCAACGCCGCGUGAGUGAAGAAGGGUUUCGGCUCGUAAAACUCUGUUGUUAAAGAAGAACAUAUCUGAGAGUAACUGUUCAGGUAUUGACGGUAUUUAACCAGAAAGCCACGGCUAACUACGUGCCAGCAGCCGCGGUAAUACGUAGGUGGCAAGCGUUGUCCGGAUUUAUUGGGCGUAAAGCGAGCGCAGGCGGUUUUUUAAGUCUGAUGUGAAAGCCUUCGGCUCAACCGAAGAAGUGCAUCGGAAACUGGGAAACUUGAGUGCAGAAGAGGACAGUGGAACUCCAUGUGUAGCGGUGAAAUGCGUAGAUAUAUGGAAGAACACCAGUGGCGAAGGCGGCUGUCUGGUCUGUAACUGACGCUGAGGCUCGAAAGUAUGGGUAGCAAACAGGAUUAGAUACCCUGGUAGUCCAUACCGUAAACGAUGAAUGCUAAGUGUUGGAGGGUUUCCGCCCUUCAGUGCUGCAGCUAACGCAUUAAGCAUUCCGCCUGGGGAGUACGGCCGCAAGGCUGAAACUCAAAGGAAUUGACGGGGGCCCGCACAAGCGGUGGAGCAUGUGGUUUAAUUCGAAGCUACGCGAAGAACCUUACCAGGUCUUGACAUACUAUGCAAAUCUAAGAGAUUAGACGUUCCCUUCGGGGACAUGGAUACAGGUGGUGCAUGGUUGUCGUCAGCUCGUGUCGUGAGAUGUUGGGUUAAGUCCCGCAACGAGCGCAACCCUUAUUAUCAGUUGCCAGCAUUAAGUUGGGCACUCUGGUGAGACUGCCGGUGACAAACCGGAGGAAGGUGGGGAUGACGUCAAAUCAUCAUGCCCCUUAUGACCUGGGCUACACACGUGCUACAAUGGAUGGUACAACGAGUUGCGAACUCGCGAGAGUAAGCUAAUAGCUUCUCUUAAAGCCAUUCUCAGUUCGGAUUGUAGGCUGCAACUCGCCUACAUGAAGUCGGAAUCGCUAGUAAUCGCGGAUCAGCAUGCCGCGGUGAAUACGUUCCCGGGCCUUGUACACACCGCCCGUCACACCAUGAGAGUUUGUAACACCCAAAGUCGGUGGGGUAACCUUUUAGGAACCAGCCGCCUAAGGUGGGACAGAUGAUUAGGGUGAAGUCGUAACAAGAGGC